rnacentral:rRNA from 3 species
GUGGGUAGUUUGACUGGGGCGGUCUCCUCCUAAAGAGUAACGGAGGAGCACGAAGGUUGGCUAAUCCUGGUCGGACAUCAGGAGGUUAGUGCAAUGGCAUAAGCCAGCUUGACUGCGAGCGUGACGGCGCGAGCAGGUGCGAAAGCAGGUCAUAGUGAUCCGGUGGUUCUGAAUGGAAGGGCCAUCGCUCAACGGAUAAAAGGUACUCCGGGGAUAACAGGCUGAUACCGCCCAAGAGUUCAUAUCGACGGCGGUGUUUGGCACCUCGAUGUCGGCUCAUCACAUCCUGGGGCUGAAGUAGGUCCCAAGGGUAUGGCUGUUCGCCAUUUAAAGUGGUACGCGAGCUGGGUUUAGAACGUCGUGAGACAGUUCGGUCCCUAUCUGCCGUGGGCGCUGGAGAACUGAGGGGGGCUGCUCCUAGUACGAGAGGACCGGAGUGGACGCAUCACUGGUGUUCGGGUUGUCAUGCCAAUGGCACUGCCCGGUAGCUAAAUGCGGAAGAGAUAAGUGCUGAAAGCAUCUAAGCACGAAACUUGCCCCGAGAUGAGUUCUCCCUGAGACUUAGAGUCUCCUGAAGGAACGUUGAAGACGACGACGUUGAUAGGCCGGGUGUG